rnacentral:rRNA from 1 species
GAUGAACGCUGGCGGCGUGCCUAAUACAUGCAAGUCGAGCGAACAGACGAGGAGCUUGCUCCUCUGACGUUAGCGGCGGACGGGUGAGUAACACGUGGAUAACCUACCUAUAAGACUGGGAUAACUUCGGAAAACCGGAGCUACUACCGGAGCAUAUAUUGAACCGCAUGGUUCAAUAGUGAAAGACGGUUUUGCUGUCACUUAUAGAUGGAUCCGCGCCGCAUUAGCUAGUUGGUAAGGUAACGGCUUACCAAGGCAACGAUGCGUAGCCGACCUGAGAGGGUGAUCGGCCACACUGGAACUGAGACACGGUUCAGACUCCUACGGGAGGCAGCAGUAGGGAAUCUUCCGCAAUGGGCGAAAGCCUGACGGAGCAACGCCGCGUGAGUGAUGAAGGUCUUCGGAUCGUAAAGCUCUGUUAUUAGGGAAGAACAACUGUGUAAGUAACUAUGCACGUCUUGACGGUACCUAAUCAGAAAGCCACGGCUAACUACGUG